AGUGUCAAGGGAUGGGAAUUGAACCCACGACCUUCCGCUUACCGGGCAGAUGCCAUGACCACUAGGCCACAUGACC
rnacentral:tRNA from 1 species